CUUGUUCCCUAUCUAAGCUUGAUUUUUUGCCUUGCUUUUAUUUGGAAAUAUAUGGCAUUCAUUUAGGUUCUAGUAAAUAACUUGUUCUGCCUCAAGCCUUAUGCCUCUCUUUUUAUCUUCUCACAGCAGUUCACAGAAUUCAACCCCUAUUUCUUUAUUUUCAAAGUACAAGACGAGUCCAACUAGAAACAAGCUCAUGAGUGUAUUUGUCAGGCUGGAGAAGUGAUCUUUGUGCCAAAUGGAUGGUGGCAUCUAGUGAUUAACCUAGAAGAAUCUGUUGCCAUUACACAGAACUAUGUUAGCAGGAGAAAUUUAUUGAACGUUCUCGAUUUUCUUAAGAAGCCGAAUGCUAGCGAGCUUGUUUCUGGGACAACAGACAGAAUAAACUUGGUACUUACAUAAAGCUUGGAUGUACUCAAGGAUGGAUGUUUGGUUCUUUUUUUCGUCCAUCUCCAACGUGAGUCUACUUAUAGAUGUUUGCUUAUUAAGAGAGUAAGAUGGCAUCCACUUUCACAGCCAUGUCAUCAGUUGGCUGGUGUGAACAAGUUUGCUGAUUUGGUUGGAGUCACUCUUGGACCAAAAGGCAGGAAUGUCGUUCUAGAGAGCAAAUAUGGCUCUCCCAAAAUCGUUAAUGAUGGUGUGAUAGUGGCUAAGGAGGUGGUUAGAUGUUGCUUGGAGCAUGCAACAUCAGUGGCCAAGACAUUCUUGAUGUCCUAUUGUGUGGUUGUGGAAAUAAAGAAACCUGAGCCCGUGCCUGCUGGGAACCCCAUGGAUAAUUCAGGAUAUGGCUACUAAAGCAGAUGUUGAAGGGAAAUCGAAUAAGGUAUCAAAUCUCUAUUGUAGCAAUGAUGAACCUGUUUAGAGUAGAAUGCUUAUUUUCGUUGUUGAUUACUUAUUGAAGAAUCCUUAAUAUCCCCGUGAUAUAUAAGAUUUGCAUUUUGCAGUCCAGUGUAACAAUUUUGAACAUCAUUUUUCAGUGAAAGGAAGAAAGUUGGUAUUCA